rnacentral:lncRNA from 1 species
GGACUCCUGAAAAGGCAGGCGGGGUAAGGGGGACAGGGGCGGGGUUCCGCGCAUGGCCGGAAGUGCCCCGGCGGGGUCUCGAGCCUGGUUCAGCCGCUGCUGGGGUAGCUAGCGGGCUGACCGCGCGCUUGUCGGGCGGUAGGAAGAACGGUAGCCUAGGAGACCCCGGAGCGUGCACGCCCACGCGCCUGCGGAGAGGCAAAAUCUAAGCGCGCUACGUUUGCAAACUCAACUGACCUGGAUUUGAGGCCUGCCCCUUCCCCCUUCCAGCUGUGUGACCUUGGGCUGGUCACUGGCUUCUUUAUGGCCCUAAAAUGAGGUCUCACCCGAUCCCGAAGGACCCUUUGGACGUCAGCAUCCUUUGAUCCUAGAGCUGACCGGAGUGUUCCACGGUUCUUCGGGACCAAGGUGGGAGAAUCAGGGAAAAGAGCAUUUUCUGAAUUAGCUGCUAAACCUCCUGAAUUAGCGAGAAUUCAGGGUUCCAGGGAGGGCACUCUUCUCUCCGCCAUCCAGAGACUGCCAGGUGGCAGCGAUAUUAGCGCACUCGCCCCCAAUGCGGGAAGAAGCUCUGCCUUCUCAGGACUCUGUCCAUUCCGAAAAAGGGAGACUAGGAGAUGAGGGUAUGGCUGGUGUGCUUUUGUCAGCUAGGUCCCAGGUAUGUUAGAAUGUAUUUUCUCAUUUUUGGAUAAAUUUCCCUCUCUAAUCCUAUAGAGUUUUUGUGUAGCUAAGUAUUACUUAGGUACUUGAGCAUGAAUCCCUCUUUCCUUCCAGGAGAUUGAGCCAUUGCUAAUAAUCAUGAAUUUCAUAGGGAAUGUUCCCAUUUGCCCAGCUUCCUUUUUUCUGCAACAACAUCUUCACAUUUUUAUUCAGACACUAUGUUCAAGUGAGCUCUGCAAAGAAUAUAAGAUUUAAACUUAAUUUUUACCUCAAAUUUAUAUAGAAGAAUGAAGAUAUACAUGAAGUAUUUAAUAGGUGUGAUUGACAUGAUGUAAUGGAAAGGUCAUUAGAUUUAGUUCAAAGAUACGGAUUUGAAUCUUAGUUUUGUUUCUGACUUAACAAAUUAAACUCCACUCAUCUUAUCCUUAAAAUUAGAUAGACUCUUUGUCUGAUGUCCCUUCCCUUACUAUAAAUAUUUCAUCCUUUUGGAAGAGAUCUAAACGUCAGGAGAUUGGGUUUGAGACCUAGUUUUACUAUAUCCUUACCAUGUGUUCUUAGGCAAGUGAUUUUACUUCUUGGGGCCUUAAUUACUCAUAUAUAAAAAUAAAAGGAUUGGAUUAAGUGACCUCAAAGGUCCCACCCAAAUCUUUUUAAUUUACCAUGAUUUAUAAUUUCAGUUCAUGUCAUUGGGAGGCUUCAUGGACAAAAUGGGGGGGACGAGAUGAACUAUACCUUGAGAAGUAAGUAGGAUUUUUUUUUUUUUUUUUAGCAAGGAGGGUGGAAAGUAGUUGGGAAUAGUCAAGCAUAAGAAAGCAUGUAAUCUCCACAAAACAGUGUACAUUUGACUAGAACUGAUGUUUCUUAUUAGAGAAUGGAUGAGAAAUAAGCAAACCUUAUUUCUUAUAUCAAAUACCAAAGUAUUUGACAAACUAUAGAAUCUUCUGGAGGCAAUCUGUAACCCCACAAAAGAAUUGUCCCAACCAUCCACAUAAGAAAGAUCAAAUGGUUGAAGAAUAUGUUAUCCAGAUUAUGAUAUAUAUUUACUUUUCAUGUCAAAAACCUAAAAAAUCCACAAGUAUAAUUAAUAAUCAACAUUAACUAUAGGUAUUAAUGCAUGGAAGCAAAUUUAAUCUCAUAAAUAAUUAUUGAGACUUGAUGGAAUGAGGCCUCUAAAGAUAAUAUGAUUCUAAAAAGUUACCUUAUAUAAAAGAGACAGGUAGUUGGCACAGGGAAUAGAAACUUGGAACUGGAGUCAGGAAGAUCCAAAUUCAACUCCAUUCUCAGACAUUGCUAGCUACCUAGUUAUUUAACCUUUGUCUUCCUCAGUUUUCUCAUCUGUAAUGAGAUGAUAAUAACAUCUACCAUCCAGGGUUGUUUAGAGGAUAAAAUGAGAUAGACAUUAAACAUUUGUUAAGUACCUACUAGAUGUUUAGCACUAUAUUAUGUGCCUGAUACUAUUCUGAGUGCAAAAAGAGAGUCUCUGCCAUCUUGGAGCUUACAGUUUACUGGUGGAAGACCACACACACAAGGCUAAAAAGUGGGGGGAGGAGGAGAGGAAAGAGACCCAAUACAAAGGCAUAGUGGAGAAGUCAGAAGAGUAAUAGAAGUGGUGCAGCCAGAUAAGAAAUGAGGGGAUAUCUGAGUUAACUCCCUCUUUAAAUGGAAGUUUUGGAGAUUAUGACCCUGCCUUCCAGAGGGACAAAGGGUGGCAAUGAGAAGAUACCAAGACUAAUGGAAAUCUUACAGGUGGGAUAACAUUAUCCAGUAAUGAGCUUCCUGGAAAACUGUGGAAUCAAAGAAGUACCAGAGUAGUAUGAUCAAGUAAGAAAUGAGGACAUUUGCAAAAUCACUUUACAAACCUUAAAGCACUAUAAAUACUAGCUCUUUUUUUUCCCUUUUUUUAAUUAAUAAACUGUUGCCCCAAAUUGAAUACAAUACCCCAUGUUUGAUCAAAUAAAAUAAUUUAUUCUUGCUUCCUUCAUUUUGUAUACUUUGUUUCUAUUAAGAUUACCUAAGAUAAAAUAAACUUUUUAACAUCCUUAUUUAAUUCUUAGAUAGCUCUAAUUAUUAGGAAGUUUUUUUCUUUAUCCAGAUGAAAUGUCAUCUCUACAUCAAUAUAUUGUUUCUAGUUGUUGAAGUCAUAGACUAUAAAAGCUAACAGUCAUAAAAUUCAUCUAGUCAUAAAAUACCAGCUCAACAAUUUCAUUUUACAGAUGAUGAAGGUGAGAUUCAGGGUGAUUACAUAGCUUGCCCAGAUCCAUAUAGAUCUCAAGUAUUUACUGCUCUUAUUUCACAGAUGAGGAACCUGAGAAUCAGAGAACUUACAUGAUUGACUGAAAUGGACAUCUCUGCUGAAAGACGGUGUUUAAGAGCCAGGACUUGGACCCACUUUUUAAAAGGCCAAGUGCAUUGCUCCCAAGUAGUUCUCUCUUUAGGACUGGAUAAGUUAACAAAUAUAGUUUCUUAAGUGCUAGAUACUAGCACUUAAAUGUUAGAUACUAGUUUUGGUUUUUUCUUAGCAAAAUCAUUAGCCCAAGAAGAGAGAAAAUUAUUUCAUAAUUCUUUUUUUAUUAUUAUUAUGAAGAAAGCCUAAUUGUCAUAGGUAGAUAUAAUGCUCAAUAAAUGCUUGACUUGAAACACCCAGAACAUCAACAUCAUUAGGAACUAUUUCUAUAGCAUAUGGUUAAUUCUUCACUUAAUUCUCAACCACUUUUGCCCUUUUUCUAGGACCAUGUGGGAGUGGGAGCCUUGAAUGGAUAGAAAUAUUUGGUGUUUCAGGAAUCUGUGGCAUUUAAAGAUGUGGUCAUAGAUUUUACUCAGGAGGAGUGGAGACAACUAGACCUUCCUCAGAAAGAUCUGUACAAGGACCCGAUAUUGGAGAAGUAUAGCAAUCUGAUUUUGCUGGGUAAGAACAAUUGCCUUUUAGUGCAUCUUCAGCUCUCUAAUUUUUAAAACCCUAAGUAUCAUCUGAAGUGUAUAAUUAAUAUUUGGCUUAGGAUUUGUGGGUUAUAAAUAUCUAAAUUUCCUGCACCUGGGAACAUAUUGUUUCAUUC